rnacentral:rRNA from 1 species
GGGACACGUGGUAUCCUGUCUGAAUAUGGGGGGACCAUCCUCCAAGGCUAAAUACUCCUGACUGACCGAUAGUGAACCAGUACCGUGAGGGAAAGGCGAAAAGAACCCCGGCGAGGGGAGUGAAAAAGAACCUGAAACCGUGUACGUACAAGCAGUGGGAGCACGCUUAGGCGUGUGACUGCGUACCUUUUGUAUAAUGGGUCAGCGACUUAUAUUCUGUAGCAAGGUUAACCGAAUAGGGGAGCCGAAGGGAAACCGAGUCUUAACUGGGCGUUAAGUUGCAGGGUAUAGACCCGAAACCCGGUGAUCUAGCCAUGGGCAGGUUGAAGGUUGGGUAACACUAACUGGAGGACCGAACCGACUAAUGUUGAAAAAUUAGCGGAUGACUUGUGGCUGGGGGUGAAAGGCCAAUCAAACCGGGAGAUAGCUGGUUCUCCCCGAAAGCUAUUUAGGUAGCGCCUCGUGAAUUCAUCUCCGGGGGUAGAGCACUGUUUCGGCAAGGGGGUCAUCCCGACUUACCAACCCGAUGCAAACUGCGAAUACCGGAGAAUGUUAUCACGGGAGACACACGGCGGGUGCUAACGUCCGUCGUGAAGAGGGAAACAACCCAGACCGCCAGCUAAGGUCCCAAAGUCAUGGUUAAGUGGGAAACGAUGUGGGAAGGCCCAGACAGCCAGGAUGUUGGCUUAGAAGCAGCCAUCAUUUAAAGAAAGCGUAAUAGCUCACUGGUCGAGUCGGCCUGCGCGGAAGAUGUAACGGGGCUAAACCAUGCACCGAAGCUGCGGCAGCGACACUAUGUGUUGUUGGGUAGGGGAGCGUUCUGUAAGCCUGUGAAGGUGUGCUGUGAGGCAUGCUGGAGGUAUCAGAAGUGCGAAUGCUGACAUAAGUAACGAUAAAGCGGGUGAAAAGCCCGCUCGCCGGAAGACCAAGGGUUCCUGUCCAACGUUAAUCGGGGCAGGGUGAGUCGACCCCUAAGGCGAGGCCGAAAGGCGUAGUCGAUGGGAAACAGGUUAAUAUUCCUGUACUUGGUGUUACUGCGAAGGGGGGACGGAGAAGGCUAUGUUGGCCGGGCGACGGUUGUCCCGGUUUAAGCGUGUAGGCUGGUUUUCCAGGCAAAUCCGGAAAAUCAAGGCUGAGGCGUGAUGACGAGGCACUACGGUGCUGAAGCAACAAAUGCCCUGCUUCCAGGAAAAGCCUCUAAGCAUCAGGUAACAUCAAAUCGUACCCCAAACCGACACAGGUGGUCAGGUAGAGAAUACCAAGGCGCUUGAGAGAACUCGGGUGAAGGAACUAGGCAAAAUGGUGCCGUAACUUCGGGAGAAGGCACGCUGAUAUGUAGGUGAGGUCCCUCGCGGAUGGAGCUGAAAUCAGUCGAAGAUACCAGCUGGCUGCAACUGUUUAUUAAAAACACAGCACUGUGCAAACACGAAAGUGGACGUAUACGGUGUGACGCCUGCCCGGUGCCGGAAGGUUAAUUGAUGGGGUCAGCGCAAGCGAAGCUCUUGAUCGAAGCCCCGGUAAACGGCGGCCGUAACUAUAACGGUCCUAAGGUAGCGAAAUUCCUUGUCGGGUAAGUUCCGACCUGCACGAAUGGCGUAAUGAUGGCCAGGCUGUCUCCACCCGAGACUCAGUGAAAUUGAACUCGCUGUGAAGAUGCAGUGUACCCGCGGCAAGACGGAAAGACCCCGUGAACCUUUACUAUAGCUUGACACUGAACAUUGAGCCUUGAUGUGUAGGAUAGGUGGGAGGCUUAGAAGUGUGGACGCCAGUCUGCAUGGAGCCGACCUUGAAAUACCACCCUUUAAUGUUUGAUGUUCUAACGUUGACCCGUAAUCCGGGUUGCGGACAGUGUCUGGUGGGUAGUUUGACUGGGGCGGUCUCCUCCUAAAGAGUAACGGAGGAGCACGAAGGUUGGCUAAUCCUGGUCGGACAUCAGGAGGUUAGUGCAAUGGCAUAAGCCAGCUUGACUGCGAGCGUGACGGCGCGAGCAGGUGCGAAAGCAGGUCAUAGUGAUCCGGUGGUUCUGAAUGGAAGGGCCAUCGCUCAACGGAUAAAAGGUACUCCGGGGAUAACAGGCUGAUACCGCCCAAGAGUUCAUAUCGACGGCGGUGUUUGGCACCUCGAUGUCGGCUCAUCACAUCCUGGGGCUGAAGUAGGUCCCAAGGGUAUGGCUGUUCGCCAUUUAAAGUGGUACGCGAGCUGGGUUUAGAACGUCGUGAGACAGUUCGGUCCCUAUCUGCCGUGGGCGCUGGAGAACUGAGGGGGGCUGCUCCUAGUACGAGAGGACCGGAGUGGACGCAUCACUGGUGUUCGGGUUGUCAUGCCAAUGGCACUGCCCGGUAGCUAAAUGCGGAAGAGAUAAGUGCUGAAAGCAUCUAAGCACGAAACUUGCC